rnacentral:misc_RNA from 1 species
AAAUAUAAAGCAAAUUCAAGCAGGGUGACUGAGAAAAUCUCUUACACAAUAAUUAGUUCAUCAAAGCCAACAGUGUCCAAUAUCUAAGAUCAACACACAAUGUCUCAACCAAGCAUAUUGGUACUUCAACUCAUGCUCCGACGAGUCUCUUUGACAGCAGAACUUCCGUUACCAUUUGCUGGUUCAUCACGACCUCGAGCAGGUGACUUGCUAUAGCUGCGCCUGCGAGGUGACACACUGCGGCUUCUGGGAGAGCGGUCACGACUGUAGCUCUUGCGAGUUCUUGGAGAACGUUCACAAGGGCUCGGGCUCCGACGACCAUAACUUGGACUCCUUCGAUAGCGAGGGCUGCGGCUGCGGCUACGGCGACGGCCACUGCCUUGUCCUCCAGAACCAAUACGCAUGCGGCAUUCACGAGCAAAGUGACCAGGCUCGCCACACUCGUAACAUUUCAUUUCUGAACCUCCACGGUCACUUCCGCGGUCGCUGCCACGGUCACGAGAACGGCCACCGCCACGACCUCCACCACCAUUCUUGUUGUUAUGAGAAAUCUCAACUCUCCAACCAUUUUUGCCAUCAAGACCCCGAAUCGCAUCCUCAGCAUCCCUCUUGUCAUUGAAGUCGAUAAAAGCAUAGCCUGGAGGUCGUCUGGCAACCCACACAUUGCGAAAGACUCCGUAUACACGAAACUCGUCCUCGAGAUCCCGCUCGGUGACUCGGGGAUCCAGGUUGCCCACAUACACACGAGACAUAAUCGGAGGCUGGGAGGGUGAGAUUUUGCUGGAUCGAGGACGGCUUCAGAGAUCCCCA